AACGAACGCUGGCGGCAUGCCUAACACAUGCAAGUCGAACGAUUGCCUUCGGGUGAUAGUGGCGCACGGGUGCGUAACGCGUGGGAAUCUGCCCUUAGGUUCGGAAUAACAGCUGGAAACGGCUGCUAAUACCGGAUGAUAUCGCGAGAUCAAAGAUUUAUCGCCUGAGGAUGAGCCCGCGUUGGAUUAGGUAGUUGGUGGGGUAAAGGCCUACCAAGCCGACGAUCCAUAGCUGGUCUGAGAGGAUGAUCAGCCACACUGGGACUGAGACACGGCCCAGACUCCUACGGGAGGCAGCAGUGGGGAAUAUUGGACAAUGGGCGCAAGCCUGAUCCAGCAAUGCCGCGUGAGUGAUGAAGGCCCUAGGGUUGUAAAGCUCUUUUACCCGGGAAGAUAAUGACUGUACCGGGAGAAUAAGCCCCGGCUAACCCCGUG
rnacentral:rRNA from 1 species